rnacentral:lncRNA from 1 species
CCCAGGGAGCUUAGCACUGCAAUAUCAUCAGCAGCCCUUCAAAAGCAAAUCUUUCUUUGAAGACAAAUCAUUUAAAGAAAACUGGAUGAAAACUUGCAGAGAGUUCUGAAUCUCAUAGGUGCUGGGCUCUCCUUGGAUCAGCGGAGGAAGAGAAGUUCACAUCACAAAAGCUGCAUUUAGAGCAUUAAUUUGGAGGUCAGAUUGAAAGAGCAGGAGAACUUUACAGUUAAGGGUUAAGCCACCAUGAGAGGAAAUAAGACCCCUCCUUUUGGGAGCAUCUUCCCUGCAAAGGUCCAGUUCAGUUCUUAACCGGAUCUGACACCACUCAAGCUGGGACUUGCACAGAGGUGGCCAACGUGGAGGUGAGUUGCGUGACCUUCUCUCUCCUCAAAUGCCGAAAACUCUGUCCACACGCCACUGAUAACAGCAACAGAUAUGCAACCAAAUGAAAUAUGCCUCCUCUUGGCAGCUGCUACAGAACGACGCUGCAGAAAGGAAAGGUCUUUGUGUGAAAAUGUAUCAUUCUUGUAUAUCCAAAAUAAAUUCUCAUGUCAAGACCGCCCACUCGGGCAAAACAAGCCUCUCUGCCUCAUCCAGUUGCAUCAAGUGUGCUUCAAAGUUGAGAAAAUGUGAG